CUUUAUUUUGAAAAUAUUUCAAAUAUAAAUGAAAGUUGCUAGAAUAGUACAGUGAACUUCAUAUAUACACUUCACCUUGAUUCACUGUUAACAUUUUUCACAUUUGCUCUUCUUUCCUCUCUCCCUCCCUCUCUGUCCCCACCCCCCCAUACAUGUAUAAUUAUUGUUGUUGUUGAAGCAACUGAGGGUAAGUUGCAAGUACCAUGACCCUUAAGUGCUUCAGUGUGUAUCUAUCUUCCAGGUACGUUGAGGUAUUAAUUUUUUAAUUAUAAGCCCGGUGUCUUCAUUCUUAACAAUCCAAACAAUACAAUCCUCCUAAAGCAUAAAAGCUUCUACUACUCCUUCUCCAGAAGUAACUAUCGUUUGAUGUGUAUCCUCCUAGACUUUUUUCUAUGAAUAAUAACAUUCAUUUGAUACACAUAUGCACACACACAUAUAUGUGUGCAUGUGUGUAUAUUUUUGCAUUCCUAUGUAUUCAUGGCAUACAUAGUAUACUUAAUGUUUUUGGCUAUUUUAUCUUUUCACACACAUGGGAUCACACCAUGAGUUUGAUUCUGCAACUUGCUUUCUUCGGUUGGUUAUAUCACUGGCAUUGUUUACAUGGGUUCUUGCCAGCCGGCCUUAAUCUUUUCUGUGGGAUGUAUUUGUUUACUCCCUUACUGGUGACCACUUAGUUAACUUCCAUGGUUUUCCUGUCACAGACUGCCUCAGUGAACACCCUGUAUGUGCAUUUGUGCCUUUGUAGAACAGAUUCUGGAAGGUAGGAUACUGGUCAAAGGGUUUGUGUGUUUUAAAUGUUGAUAGACAGGGCUAAAUUGCUCCUUUAAGCUUUUAAUGCUGCCUUUUGCCCAUCACGGAGGCGCCACAGAGGGGACGUCUCCAGUUCUUCCGGCUCUGCCUGUUCAAAGCUACCAUUGUGAUGCUGGAAGAACGACACCACGAAAAAACUAAUACUCCCUGAGUGCUGAUUCGGCCAGAGGCUGUGCUAAGGGCUUGCUGCUUUACAGGAGAGGAGAUGGGGGCCAGAGGGGUCACAGCUUGUCCAGGUUGACCGGCUCGGAGAUUGCUGAGCUGGGACUGAGCCAGGCUGUCAGACCAGAACCUGUGUGUCUGGUCCCUCCACAAGCUGCACUAGCACGCCCGUCCUCUCCUCGGCUUCUCCAUGUCCAUUCUCUGCACAGCAAGGAGAAGCAGUACACCAACGGAGAAGUGGGAAUGGGCAGGUAGCCCAUCAGGGGGCUGGCAAAAACUGCCGCUGUUUUGUCCAAGGAUGAAAGUGGGAAUGACGUGACUGAACAUAACCGCCCUCCCCUCCCUGUGUUGAUGAUUACCGCCCUGACAGGUGAGCCACAUCUCCCUUGGGUUCUGGAGGAUUUCCGUUCAUCUUUUAGACACAGCGGUGAUUCGAAGAGGAUGUGAGCUGCAGCUGUUGGGAGAGUGGAGUCACUCUGGGAGAGGUGCUUGCUGGGUAGACAAGUUCUCACCGUGCAUGAAGAUGACAGUAAGACCCUGCACAUUUCAACUGGCACAUGGCUGCCCAGAAGAAAGGCUAUGUUUCCGUCCUCAAUGAGAGGAAAUUCUGCUCAACGAGAUAUAUGUGAAAAUGUUUGCAACUCUGGAAAGCCUCCUGCUGCCUGGAACACGGAUCUUUGAAUCCAGCAUGCUGUGAGAAUGCGCUUGGACGAACACGCUUCCCUCUAGUCUUGGCUUCCUGUUGUGUUGAAUGGACCUUGGCAUCAGGGAAAUUUCCGG